rnacentral:snRNA from 13 species
AUACUUACCUGGCAAGGGAGACACCGUGAUCACGAAAGCGGUUCACCCAGGGCGAGGCUCAGCCAUUGCACUCCGGCUGUGCUGACCCCUGCGAAUUUCUUCUCAAAUGUGGAAAUCUCGAUUGCAUAAUUUCUGGUAGUGGGGGACUGCGUUCGCGCUCUCCCCUG